GACGAACGCUGGCGGCGUGCCUAAUACAUGCAAGUUGAGCGAUGAAGCUUGGUGCUUGCACCAAUUUGAAGAGCAGCGAACGGGUGAGUAACGCGUGGGGAAUCUGCCUUUGAGCGGGGGACAACAUUUGGAAACGAAUGCUAAUACCGCAUAACAACUUUAAACAUAAGUUUUAAGUUUGAAAGAUGCAAUUGCAUCACUCAAAGAUGAUCCCGCGUUGUAUUAGCUAGUUGGUGAGGUAAAGGCUCACCAAGGCGAUGAUACAUAGCCGACCUGAGAGGGUGAUCGGCCACAUUGGGACUGAGACACGGCCCAAACUCCUACGGGAGGCAGCAGUAGGGAAUCUUCGGCAAUGGACGAAAGUCUGACCGAGCAACGCCGCGUGAGUGAAGAAGGUUUUCGGAUCGUAAAACUCUGUUGGUAGAGAAGAACGUUGGUGUGAGUGGAAAGCUCAUCAAGUGACGGUAACUACCCAGAAAGGGACGGCUAACUACGUG
rnacentral:rRNA from 1 species